GUAAUAAUAAACCUAGUGGACAUGGCAUCUGCCUGGUAAGCGGAACACUGUGGGUUCGAUUCCCAUUCAUGGACA
rnacentral:tRNA from 1 species